GGCGGCGUGCCUAACACAUGCAAGUCGAGCGAGAAAGGGGGGGCAACUCCCCGAGUAAAGCGGCAGACGGGUGAGUAACACGUGAACAAUCUACCCUCGAGUGGGGAAUAACACCGCGAAAGCGGUGCUAAUACCGCAUAAGAUCCCAUAGUCGCAUGAGCGUGGGACCAAAAGCGCAAGUUGCUUGAGGAGGAGUUCGCGGCUGAUUAGCUAGUUGGUGAGGUAACGGCCCACCAAGGCAACGAUCAGUAGCCGGCCUGAGAGGGUGAACGGCCACACUGGAACUGAGACACGGUCCAGACUCCUACGGGAGGCAGCAGUGGGGAAUUUUGCGCAAUGGGCGAAAGCCUGACGCAGCAACGCCGCGUGGAGGAUGAAGGCCUUCGGGUCGUAAACUCCUGUCAGGGGGGACGAAAUCCCGCAAGGGAGUGACUGUACCCCCGGAGGAAGCCACGGCUAACUCCGUGCCAGCAGCCGCGGUAAUACGGAGGUGGCAAGCGUUGUUCGGAAUUACUGGGCGU
rnacentral:rRNA from 1 species